UAGUGCAUCAAAAUAUGCAAAUCCCGCUUACUACAUAGUCCGCCCAGCUGCAGUCGGAGUAAUUUCCCCCCAGCCAGUUCUUGGGUAUUUGAUUGCCGUUUUGAAAGCCAGCAUAGCCUUAUUUGUUUUUCCAAGAGGCUUUGUUAAUGUCAAUGGGGACAGAAGGGAAACAUGAAGACAAGGGGAACCGUGGCUUCUGCGUGGAAAACCGCCCAUGCGUAAUGAGACGACCCGCUCCGCCAUUCUCAAUUCUCCGACGCCGUUGGCUCUGGUCUUUUUGGAUACAACUUAAAUAAAGAACAACAAAGAAUCCCAUAUGAAUGUUGGGACCUUAAGCAAUGGUAUGUUACUACACUUGGCUGUACAGGUGUAUGGUCUCCCCCUUUGCACUGUAAGUGACCCAUUGAAACAUCAGCUGAGGUACGGCUCGAGUGAAUUUUGAGGUACCAACAUUUAGUCUAGAGUAAAAUGACAAAGAACCAACUGAUCAACAGAUGAAAAAUAUUUCAACUUUAACAAACACAAAAAAGAAAAAACAAAACAACAUAAUGACAAGUUUUCUCCAUGUCACCACAGCACUCUGAUUAACCAUCCAGACAUGUUGGCAUUGUUUCAGUUAAUGAGCAGGCAUGGCAAUUAGUGUGCAAUGUGCUUUGAUCAAGUGGGCAACAAGCCUGAUCAGGCCUGGAUCAUCCUGUGGAUUCCAAGUGGAUAACAAACUGUGGAUACCAAUAACUUUUCACACGCAACCUUGUCAUUGUGAUGCAGAGGGGGACAGACGCUCAACAAAAUGAGUAAAUUACCGUGGUUGGUACCGACAGUGCUGCUUGAUAUCUAAACCUACAUCUGACUGACUGAAAUUGAAAUGUGAAACCGAUUGUACAUUUGAGCAAAUUCUUUUAUUGUCUUGUUUCAAUGCUUGCAAAAACCAUAAAUGAAUGAAAAUAAAAGUUGAGUUUACAACACACAAAUACCACUUGCUUUGGUUUCCCCACACUUAUGCUGCCUGAAACAUCAUGUCAUAUAUUUUUUCCUCAAACUUUUGUAUUCUAUUAAAAAAAAAA